GUUUUAUUUCAGAACCAUCAGUUAUCUCUCCAUCUUCUAGAUUCGACAGGAAUGGGUUUAAAUAUUUUUACAUUGUCUAAAAAUACAAUGCUCUGGACAACACAAGAAAUGAACAUAUUAAAACAAUUAUUUGGUGGAACAACAAUCAUUUUUCAAACACCGAAUAUACAAUACACAGAUUUUUAUCAAACUAGAAGAACCUCACAACGAAAAAUGAAAUUUGACAGAAAUAAAUAUAUGUAAACUUUCUAAAGAUCUCUUGAGAUUAUUUCUUCAAAAACCUCUCCAUCAGUCAAAAUUAUGUAAAUCGAUGUAUAUUUUAAAAAUAAAUUAAAUAAAAUUG